CAAUGGCGUAUAUUUAAGUUGUUGCAGUUAAAAAGCUCGUAGUUGGAUUUCGGGUGGGACGCAGCGGUCUCGCAUUGCGUUUGUACUGCUGCAGCCCUCCUUCUUGCCGGGGGCGGCCUCUCGGACUUCACUGUCUGGGGGUCAGAAUCGGCGAUGUUACUUUGAGUAAAUUAGAGUGUUCAAAGCAAGCUUACGCUCUGAAUAUAAUAGCAUGGGAUAACACGACAGGACUCUGGCCUAUCGUGUUGGUCUAUAGGACCAGAGUAAUGAUUAAGAGGGACAGUCGGGGGCAUUCGUAUUCCGUUGUCAGAGGUGAAAUUCUUGGAUUUACGGAAGACGAACAUCUGCGAAAGCAUUUGCCAAGGAUGUUUUCAUUGA
rnacentral:rRNA from 1 species